GGUUGGUUUAAAACUUGCAAGUCGCACGAGAUCUUCGGAUUCUAGUGGCGGACGGGUGAGUAACGCGUGCCCAUCAGAUAUUAGGAGGGGGAUAACGGUUGGAAACGACCGCUAAUACCCCUUAUGCCGAGAGGUGAAAUCUAAUUGGCCUGAGGAUGAGCUCGCGUCCGAUUAGCUAGUUGGUGGAGUAAGAGCCCACCAAGGCGACGAUCGGUAGCUGGUCUGAGAGGAUGAUCAGCCACACUGGGACUGAGACACGGCCCAGACUCCUACGGGAGGCAGCAGUGGGGAAUUUUCCGCAAUGGGCGAAAGCCUGACGGAGCAAGACCGCGUGAGGGAAGAAGGUCUGUGGAUUGUAAACCUCUUUUGAUUGGGAAGAAUACUGACGGUACCAAUCGAAUCAGCCUCGGCUAACUCCGUGCCAGCAGCCGCGGUAAUAA
rnacentral:rRNA from 1 species